rnacentral:rRNA from 1 species
AAUCAACGCUGGCGGCGUGCCUAACACAUGCAAGUCGAACGGGAAAGUACUCUUCGGAGUGCAAGUAGAGUGGCGAACGGGUGAGUAACGCGUGGGUGAUCUACCCUUUGGUGGGGGAUAACCCGGGGAAACUCGGGCUAAUACCGCAUGAGCCUGAAGUUGUAAGGGACUUCAGGGAAAGUUUUCGAAUGCCGAAGGAGGAGCCCGCGUCCGAUUAGCUAGUUGGUGAGGUAAGAGCUCACCAAGGCGACGAUCGGUAGCCGGUCUGAGAGGACGGACGGUCACACUGGGACUGAGACACGGCCCAGACUCCUACGGGAGGCAGCAGUGGGGAAUUUUGGGCAAUGGGCGAAAGCCUGACCCAGCAACGCCGCGUGGAGGACGAAGGUUUUCGGAUCGUAAACUCCUGUCUAGAGGGACGACGCAAGUGACGGUACCUCUGGAGGAAGCCCCGGCUAACUCCGUG